rnacentral:rRNA from 1 species
AUGAUCCCUAUAGGGCGCGGUCAGCGAGAGUUCAUUAUUGGGGACAGACAGACUGGCAAAACAGCAGUAGCCACAGAUACAAUUCUCAAGAAAAAAGGGCAAGGUGUAAUAUGUGUUUAUGUAGCUAUCGGUCAAAGAGCAUCCUCCGUAGCUCAAGUAGUAACUACUUUCCAUGAGGAGGGGGCCAUGGAAUACACUAUUGUAGUAGCUGAAAUGGCGGAUUCACCUGCUACAUUACAAUACCUCGCUCCUUAUACGGGAGCAGCCCUGGCUGAGUAUUUUAUGUACCGCGAACGGCAUACUUUAAUAAUUUAUGAUGAUCUCUCCAAACAGGCACAAGCUUAUCGCCAAAUGUCCCUUCUAUUAAGUCCCGGCCGUGAGGCUUAUCCAGGGGAUGUUUUUUAUUUGCAUUCACGCCUUUUAGAAAGAGCCGCGAAAUUAAAUUCUCUUUUAGGCGAAGGAAGUAUGACCGCUUUACCAAUAGUUGAGACUCAAUCUGGAGACGUUUCCGCCUAUAUUCCUACUAAUGUAAUCUCCAUUACAGAUGAACAAAUAUUCUUAUCUGCGGAUCUAUUCCAUGCCGGAAUUCGACCCGCUAUUAAUGUGGGUAUUUCAGUUUCCAGAGUAGGAUCCGCGGCUCAAAUUAAAGCCAUGAAACAAGUAGCUGGCAAAUCCAAAUUGGAACUAGCUCAAUUCGCAGAGUGA